GGCUGAGUGGCGCAAUGGUAGCGCGUUACUUUCCGGUUUCCACAGUUGGUAAAGGUUCUGGGUUCGAGCCCCAGCUUGGUCG